CAUCUGAAGAAAAUCUGGAAUUAGAAAAUCUGCAGAAUCAGGUUCUCUGUUUAGAAGAAAGGCUUAGAGAGAAGGAAACGAUGCUGCGACUGCAGGAGGAAAAUGAUGAAAAGAAAACCCUUUGCAUCAAACAACUGGAGGAAACGGCUUCACAUUGGAUGGAAAAAUGGCAAAAUGCUGCCUUGAUGCUUCAGUCCACACAAGCUGAGUUAGAAGAACUCAGGAAAAAGGACACAAUGAAUAAAAGAGAUUCAGAGUCCUUACUGAGGUCCGUGUCUGACGCCUGGAAACAGGAAAAAGGUAGUGAGUUGGUGCAGACUGUUGAUAACAACACACAGACAGA